rnacentral:rRNA from 1 species
UAGGGAAUCUUCCACAAUGGACGAAAGUCUGAUGGAGCAACGCCGCGUGAGUGAAGAAGGUUUUCGGAUCGUAAAGCUCUGUUGUUGGUGAAGAAGGAUAGAGGCAGUAACUGGUCUUUAUUUGACGGUAAUCAACCAGAAAGUCACGGCUAACUACGUGCCAGCAGCCGCGGUAAUACGUAGGUGGCAAGCGUUGUCCGGAUUUAUUGGGCGUAAAGCGAGCGCAGGCGGAAUGAUAAGUCUGAUGUGAAAGCCCACGGCUCAACCGUGGAACUGCAUCGGAAACUGUCAUUCUUGAGUGCAGAAGAGGAGAGUGGAACUCCAUGUGUAGCGGUGGAAUGCGUAGAUAUAUGGAAGAACACCAGUGGCGAAGGCGGCUCUCUGGUCUGCAACUGACGCUGAGGCUCGAAAGCAUGGGUAGCGAACAGGAUUAGAUACCCUGGUAGUCCAUGCCGUAAACGGUGAGCGCUAGGUGUUGGGGACUUUCCGGUCCUCAGUGCCGCAGCAAACGCAUUAAGCGCUCCGCCUGGGGAGUACGACCGCAAGGUUGA